GGGGAAUUUUCCGCAAUGGGCGAAAGCCUGACGGAGCAAUACCGCGUGAGGGAAGACUGCCUAUGGGUUGUAAACCUCUUUUUUCAGGGAGGAAUAAAAUGACGUGUACCCUGAAGAAUAAGCAUCGGCUAACUCCGUGCCAGCAGCCGCGGUAAGACGGAGGAUGCAAGUGUUAUCCGGAAUCACUGGGCGUAAAGCGUCUGUAGGUGGUUUAGUAAGUCAACUGUUAAAUCUUGAAGCUUAACUUCAAAAUCGCAGUCGAAACUAUUAGACUAGAGUAUAGUAGGGGUAAAGGGAAUUUCCAGUGGAGCGGUGAAAUGCGUAGAGAUUGGAAAGAACACCGAUGGCGAAGGCACUUUACUGGGCUAUUACUGACACUCAGAGACGAAAGCUAGGGUAGCAAAUGGGAUUAGAUACCCCAGUAGUC
rnacentral:rRNA from 1 species